rnacentral:pre_miRNA from 1 species
CAUGACUGAUGGGGUCCCUCAGCCUGGCCUGCGCCUUCUUGCAAUCCAGGACCCCUUGAGGGAUGUCAGAGAACCAGUUUAUGCCCAACCCCCUCAGGCCAGGCUGAGGGACCCCACCAGUGCACA